CUCCCUCCAUCCUGGACUUUGCCAACAGUGGCUAAGAUGAAGUCCAUUACUGCAGGAAGCAUGGCAGGAAGUGGGCACCGUGGCAGCAGGAGCAGGAAGCUGAGAGCUCGUGCCUUUGACCGCAAGCACAAACCAAGGAUGGAGAGGAAGUGAGCAGAGGACAAGCUCCCUUUAGCAAGGUCACAUGUCUCCAAAACCUCUCCAAACAGUGUGGCCAACUGGGGACCAAGGAUUCAAAUCCCUGAGCUUACCCGAGGACAUUUCUCAUUCAAAGCCUGCUGCCAUGAGCCAGGAAGUACCUACUAAGGGUUUCUGUUGCUGCGAUACAGUACCAUGACUAAAGCAACUUGGGGAAGGAAGGACUUACUUCUUACAACUCAUAGGUUAUCAUGUACGUCAGGGAAGGAAUGUAAACAGU
ensembl:lncRNA